UACGUAGGGGGCAAGCGUUGUCCGGAUUUAUUGGGCGUAAAGAGCGUGUAGGCGGCCAGGUAGGUCAGCUGUGAAAACUCGAGGCUCAACUUCGAGACGUCGGUUGAAACCAUCUGGCUAGAGUCCGGAAGAGGAGAGUGGAAUUCCUGGUGUAGCGGUGAAAUGCGCAGAUAUCAGGAAGAACACCCGUGGCGAAGGCGGCUCUCUGGGACGGUACUGACGCUGAGACGCGAAAGCGUGGGGAGCGAACAGG
rnacentral:rRNA from 1 species